rnacentral:rRNA from 1 species
GUUUGAUCCUGGCUCAGAGCGAACGUUAGCGGCAGGCUUAACACAUGCAAGUCGAGCGAGAAAGGGGCUUCGGCUCCGAGUAAAGCGGCGGACGGGUGCGUAACACGUGGAUAAUCUGCCUCGUGGCGGGGGACAACAGUCCGAAAGGACUGCUAAUACCGCAUGUCAGGUCGGAAACUCCGGUUUCUGACGAAAAAGAGGGCGCCCGCAAGGGGCUCUCACCACGAGAUGAGUCCGCGUCCCAUCAGCUAGUUGGCGGUGUAAUAGACCACCAAGGCUUAGACGGGUAGCUGGUCUGAGAGGAUGACCAGCCACACUGGGACUGAGACACGGCCCAGACUCCUACGGGAGGCAGCAGUGGGGAAUAUUGGACAAUGGGCGAAAGCCUGAUCCAGCCAUGCCGCGUGAGUGAUGAAGGCCUGGUCGUAAGACUCUGUGGGAGGGACGGAAAAAGACGGUAG